UACAGAGGUCUCAAGCGUUGUUCGGAUUCAUUGGGCGUAAAGGGUGCGUAGGUGGCGUGGUAAGUCGGGUGUGAAAUUUCGGAGCUUAACUCCGAAACUGCAUUCGAUACUGCCGUGCUUGAGGACUGGAGAGGAGACUGGAAUUUACGGUGUAGCAGUGAAAUGCGUAGAGAUCGUAAGGAAGACCAGUGGCGAAGGCGGGUCUCUGGACAGCUCCUGACACUGAGGCACGAAGGCCAGGGGAGCAAACGGG
rnacentral:rRNA from 1 species